CAGGAAACAGAAAGAAGACCAUGGGAAAGAAGGAACUGCAUUGAUCCACUCUGGAUCAACAAAGCUUUCAAAAAUUGCCAGCUAACAAGAUUUAUUGAGUGCCUAUUAUGCCUCACCUAUGGUGUCCAUUUCUCCUGCAACUCCCUCUCACCUGCGAUUCCAAGAAGCUGUGGCAUGGGCAGGAGCUACCCCAGGCUUUCCAAGACAAAAAUUAAAUCUAUUGAUGUCCUUACUAAUGUCCAUCAACCCAUUAACAUCCAGGGAGGGAGUAGAGUCAUUGAGCAGCUGCAGCUAAGUGAAACAUCAAGGAACAGAGGUUUGAGGUAUAGUUAAUAAGGUAUUAUUAUAUAUUAUUAUAUAGAAUAUGUGUGCUAUACUACACUAUUAUAUAUAUGCAGAUCACAUCAGAUAUAGGUACACAUGAUACAUAUAUUUUACAUGAUGCAUAUAACAUGUCAGAUACACAAUACUAUAUCAUAUUUACAUGUACUAGGCACACAUGAUUAGAUAUGUGUACACUACAUAUUAUGCCAUGUACACAUCAUAUAGACUAUAUGCACGCAUCACAUAUUACUUGAUUAUAUAUUAUUAGAUAUCACAUACAUG